GACGAACGCUGGCGGCGUGCCUAAUACAUGCAAGUAGAACGCACAGUUUAUACCGUAUCUUGCUACACCAUAGACUGUGAGUUGCGAACGGGUGAGUAACGCGUAGGUAACCUGCCUGGUAGCGGGGGAUAACUAUUGGAAACGAUAGCUAAUACCGCAUAAUAUUGAUUAUUGCAUGAUAAUUGAUUGAAAGAUGCUAUUGCAUCACUACCAGAUGGACCUGCGUUGUAUUAGCUAGUAGGUGAGGUAACGGCUCACCUAGGCGACGAUACAUAGCCGACCUGAGAGGGUGAUCGGCCACACUGGGACUGAGACACGGCCCAGACUCCUACGGGAGGCAGCAGUAGGGAAUCUUCGGCAAUGGACGAAAGUCUGACCGAGCAACGCCGCGUGAGUGAAGAAGGUUUUCGGAUCGUAAAGCUCUGUUGUAAGAGAAGAACGGGUGUGAGAGUGGAAAGUUCACACUGUGACGGUAUCUUACCAGAAAGGGACGGCUAACUACGUG
rnacentral:rRNA from 1 species